rnacentral:misc_RNA from 1 species
UGUGGGAGCGAGCUUGCUCGCGAUGACGACUGGCACAGUCGACACUUGCGUUGUCUGACGGUCCGCCAUCGCGAGCAAGCUCGCUCCCACA